GACAAGCGGUGGAUCAUGUUGUUUAAUUCGAUGAUACGCGAAGAACCUUACCAGGUCUUGACAUCCCCCGCGAUGCUUUAGAGAUAAAGCGGAGGUAUCGGGGAGACAGGUGGUGCAUGGUUGUCGUCAGCUCGUGUCGUGAGAUGUUGGGUUAAGUCCCGCAACGAGCGCAACCCCUAUUGCUAGUUACCAUCAUUAAGUUGGGGACUCUAGCGAGACUGCCAGUGAUAAACUGGAGGAAGGUGGGGAUGACGUCAAAUCAUCAUGCCCCUUAUGACCUGGGCUACAAACGUGAUACAAUGGCUGGAACAAAGGGAUGCGAAGCAGUGAUGUGGAGCGAAACCCAUAAAAACAGUCUCAGUUCGGAUUGAAGUCUGCAACUCGACUUCAUGAAGUCGGAAUCGCUAGUAAUCGCGGAUCAGAACGCCGCGGUGAAUACGUUCUCGGGGUUU
rnacentral:rRNA from 1 species